rnacentral:rRNA from 1 species
UACGGAGGGUGCAAGCGUUAUCCGGAAUCACUGGGUUUAAAGGGUGCGUAGGCGGCGCUAUAAGUCAGAAGUGAAAGUUGGCAGCUUAACUGCAAAAUUGCUUUUGAUACUGUAGUGCUUGAAUCAAGUUGAGGCUGGCGGAAUGUGGCAUGUAGCGGUGAAAUGCAUAGAUAUGCCAUAGAACACCAAUUGCGAAGGCAGCUGGCUAAGCUUGUAUUGACGCUGAGGCACGAAAGCGUGGGGAGCGAACAGG